CCAUGAGAAAUAUGUAAAAUAUUUACCAAACACAUCCAAGUCCCCAAAGUAGUGGCUGAAACAACAUAAAGUAUACAUGGAGAUUCCAACUUUAGUCUUUACUCAGAUUCUCCGAAAAUAUCGUCAAGUGUGUAUUCGAUCCUCGAGGACUGUAUUUUUGAAGUAUCUGACAUGCAAGUUUUUGAAGAGUUCGCAUAGCGCAAGUCUCAGCUAUGCACCAUUUGAUGCAAGUCUAUUUGGUGACCUGACUGACAACUCAGCAAAAUUUGUGCCCCAAAUACAUUAAAGUCCUCACUACUCCAUUUAAGCUCGGCUCAUGUUAUCAUCAUAACAAACAAAAAUAAAAAAGGAGUCGAGAUUAAAAAAAAAGAUAUGAUUGCUUGGCAUUAGCCCAUGUAACUUUUAUUAUUAUCAUAUGGAAUCAUAAACAUAGACAAGACUCCUCCUAAGCCAUCUAUAAAUGGAAGAAUGUGAGACUAGUUGGCACAAAAGUUAUUCACAUUACCAGAUCUCAAGACUAUUCAAAUAACCAUUAGUUAUCUAAAUCAGUAAGCAGAUCAACAAGGAAAUGAAAUGAAAACAAAACUGCAUAGAUGAUUUUUAUCUGCUGAAUGUACAAGACAAAGUAAGACGGUUAUUACAUGAUAGGAAAAAUUCAAUUCUAAAGCUGAGCCAGCCUUUUGUAGGUCACUCAAAUAUUAGACAACUACAUCUACUUAUUUCCACAAUCAUGUUUGUAUUUGGAAGUACAACAAACAUAAUCUGUGCCAAAUGAAAAACAAAACAAGUGGGACUAUCUACAUGCCAUUGUACAACAAUCACGGAUGAGUGAAAGGACUCUAAAAUAUAUUUUCUAACUAAAAGUGACUUUUACAAGAUAGGUAUGGUACAGAGAGACCUAAUAUAUGCCCCAGAAAAGUGAGUUUUCAGACUGAUAUAGUACAGCCUAAUUCCCUAGCAGCAGUAUCAAGAAAUUGAGCAGACAUUCCAUUUUCAAGCCGGCUAUUAGCUUCCCACAUCAAACACUUCUCAAUAUCCGCUUUCCAGUCACUGAUGCUUAUGCCAAGGUACUGAUAAGCAGGAUUGUGGAUGCCAUUUACAUCUGCUGCUUGUUUGGCACUUGGUUUUACUGAACCAGCAUACAUAAUGUCACGAAGAACUGAUGUACUGAGAGCACGGACAUGUGCACUUGGAUGAGAAACACAGCGAACUGUGGCAGGUAAGCGACACUGCAAUGUAUUAACCCAAAGGAACCUAGUUAGUAUUGUACCUACGUUUAUCUUAUCAUCAAGUGCAAAGUAAAAUUAAAGAAUAUAACUUUUUUCACUCUUAAGGGGGUGUUUGGUAUGGAGAUGGUUCUCCAAUUUUCUCAUGUUUGGUUGGUCAAAAUGUUUUAGGAAACAUUCUCUAGGAAAACAAGUUCCUUAAAAAUGAUGAUAUUUGGGAUCAUACUCCACCUCAGGCUGCAGUUGGUACUUUGUACGGGAAGAAGGAAGAAGUUGAAUUCUCUUAAAGGGUUGGUAGUGCACUGAUAUUAAGGGAGGAUUUACCAACUAACUCCUAAUGGCUCAUACUCAAUGUCAAGUAGUUACAAGCCAUGCUUGGUGAUCUAUAUAGCUUGUCUGAAGCUCAAUUGGUCUGGAGUUCAAUCAUGUAGCCUAGGCAGAGACUGAUGGUUUGGUUGGCGUACCAUGACAAACUUUUAACCAAAGAAAGGCUGCACAGACAACACAUCCAGUUGAUGAUGAUGUAUGUUGUUUAUGUGAUGAGGGGAUAACUGAGACUCAUCAGCACCUAUUUGCAGACUGUCAAUGGAUAACUACUGUGAAUACUGCUUUAGCUACUUGAAUUGGUGAAUCUUUACCACAGAAAACUGCUAAACAAAGCCUGAGCUGGAUGAAAAGAAGACACCGGAGACAGUUUAAGCAGGAAGUUGUAACAGCUAAUGUAUGGUGCUUUGAUAUACUAUACUUAGCAAGCUAGGAAUUGGAAAUUGUUUUAGGCAAUUAACUGUAAAUACUGAGUUUGCUGUUACACAUACAAAAGGAAUUGAAAGAGAGACUAGAGUUAGUUUCAAGCUCUAGGAAGGCUAGGAACCGUCACAUGUUGAUUCAUGAACUCUGCAAUUAGUUUUGAGAUGCUGUUUUUUUUUUGUUUUGCUGGUUCCUGAUGUCUAGAUUCUCUCUGCACUCUUCGUAGAAGUUGGCUGAGACGCUAGAUGCUCUUUAGUUUGUAAAUAUUUUUGGGUGUUGUGGUGAUAUUCGCAGUUUAUUACCCAAAAAAAUGAGAAAUAAUAACUUCCCUAAUGAAAGUAGGAUAAACAAGUUUCAUAAGUGACAUUCCAAGUUCAUUGUCUCCCCCUCCCUACCCACAACCCCCAACGCUUGACCAUUCCACUCCCCAUAGUGUUUUGCUAGAUUACAUAUAAAUACUUUUCGGACUAUUUUUUUGUUGCUUAUUUACUAAACACUAGAAAAUAAGUAAGAUACCCACUAGCUCUCCAAGAAAACAGUUCCCUUCAUACCAAGUACACCCUUAUUGAUCCCCAAUUUGAACUAAGUGUAGUAAAGAGUAUCACCUUCAAUAGGUUUGUGAGGCCAUCAGCAACUGACUGUCCAGAUUCUCCCCAGUCAAGCACUGGUUGAAUUGCUCUAGCUGUCACUUCCAAAAGCU
rnacentral:lncRNA from 1 species